rnacentral:rRNA from 1 species
UACGUAGGGUGCAAGCGUUAAUCGGAAUUACUGGGCGUAAAGCGUGCGCAGGCGGUUGUGCAAGACAGAUGUGAAAUCCCCGGGCUCAACCUGGGAACUGCAUUUGUGACUGCACGGCUGGAGUGCGGAAGAGGGGGGUAGAAUUCCACGUGUAGCGGUGAAAUGCGUAGAGAUGUGGAGGAAUACCGAUGGCGAAGGCAGCCCCCUGGGCCAAUACUGACGCUCAUGCACGAAAGCGUGGGGAGCAAACAGG